rnacentral:rRNA from 1 species
CCUUUGACGUUAGCGGCGGACGGGUGAGUAACACGUGGGUAACCUACCUAUAAGACUGGGAUAACUUCGGGAAACCGGAGCUAAUACCGGAUAAUAUUUCGAACCGCAUGGUUCGAUAGUGAAAGGUGGUUUUGCUAUCACUUAUAGAUGGACCCGCGCCGUAUUAGCUAGUUGGUAAGGUAACGGCUUACCAAGGCGACGAUACGUAGCCGACCUGAGAGGGUGAUCGGCCACACUGGAACUGAGACACGGUCCAGACUCCUACGGGAGGCAGCAGG